rnacentral:pre_miRNA from 1 species
AACCUUCUUACUCCGUGCACAGAUUUUGUCAGACGCUAGAGCAUCAGUAAUGAUGAGACUCCCAAGAUAGGUGAAGCG